rnacentral:lncRNA from 1 species
AGAAACACAUAAGCUGAACUGGAGACACUAAAUUCAGGAAGGGGUAACCUCUAGAGAGGGAAGAAAGGCAGGUGCAGGAUGAAGCAGGAAGCCUGCCAAGAAAGAUGAUAAAUUACCAUUUGGUGCCGGCGACCAGAGCUCUACAACUGCAGGGCUGCCAGGAAUUAAGAGGGAGAGUAACCAGAAACCAGGAGGGAAGUGACUUUGGACUGCAACUUUAGAGGCUUCCCUAGACUGUGGCUUUGAAUCAGAGGGCGUGAGCAGAGAAGUGCAACGGAAAGACACUCAUCUGCUGGGAUGCUGGCUCUGCCUCUUACCGCUGGCCUGUCUCCAGCAAGAUACUGUCUUUGAGCUUUGGUUUGCUUCUCUGUAAAAUGGAGACAAUAAUGCCUACUUCACUGGAUUUUUAUGAGAAGAAAAUGAGAUGGAGUAAAUGAGCAAAGCACUUAGAACCGUGACUAGUACUGAGAAAGUGUUAAGGAAGUGGAAACUCUAGCUGAAUGAACAUGAGGUUAACUGUUCUGACCACCAUGAAGAAGAGAAAAGACUCAAACCACUGGAAGCUGCAGGCAUUGGCGACCCGUGCCUCCCCCCUCAAAUGCUGGGCCUCACCCAUCAACACAAUGUGCACUGGAAUGGCCUGAUUGGUUUCCACCCUGCAGAUACCUUUUGAUAAUGUUUUCAAAAUAAUUCUUCCCAAAAAACACAGCGCUGACUAUUGACCACACGGUGCUAUAACUAAUGAACUGCCACCCUCACUGCUGGAGGACACAUCCUAACAAUGUAAUUUCAGCUCCACCAUCAGCUCUGUGAUGCUGGGCACAUCACUGAACUCUCUUGGCACAUUUUCUCACAUAUGAAAUGAAAGGUGUAGACUCUGAAAUUUCAUGAUUGUACCUAUCCAGGUGAUUAACAUUCAGGAUAUGGCAUCCACAGAUCUAAGAGGUGAGACUAGGAAGUGGUGUGGGAAUAGGAUGACUCAUUUAGGCCUGACUUCAGAUGGUGCCGUGCAACAAACACAGGUAAGAAAAGGAACACACUCUCCUGGGACGAAACAUCGACCAUGACUGUGUUAUUUCUAGAUCCCAAGCCUCACAUCUCAGGGGACCUUAAAAGAGACCGUAAGGCAGUCUUCUCAACUGAGCCACUUUAGACGAAGGAAGGGAGGCUGGGAACAGUGUGCCGUAUCAUUUCAUCCCCUUAAGAGCCCACAGGGCAAACUGGGGGCCAAGGAUGACGUCCCACCUUGAUAAAGAUGACGCAGCUCAUCGGUGUCGAGCCCAGGCAUCUGCCUCUGAGGCCUGUGCCCCUACCCACUGGGAUGAGCUUCCCCUCAUGAGAAACUGUUUUGGAAACUUGAUUUCAUUUAAGACACAUCCAAUAUAAAGCAUCCUUAGAGUCUAACAUACUGCCUCUGACACCUGAUGUGAAGAGUGCACACAGUAAGAUGUUUCUCCUGCAGAGAGAGACUCAUAGGAAAUGGUGUAAGAUCAAAGCAGAGAGAAUUGUAGACACUGAAUCCCGCCUCUUUCUCUAAAGAGAAUUUAACUCCCCCUUGUACACAGGAGAAAAGCAAAGCCCAGGAGAGUAAGGAACCAGGCUCCUUGGAUCAUGGUUAGUGCGAGGCCAGGGUGAGGACCGCGCCGACCUCCCGACUAGCCCAGCAUGUGACUUGCCUUCUGUUUCUCAGCUGUCACCCAAGCAUGCCUUCUUCUCAAGUACUUUUCCAGGCUCUCUGCUUCUAAUACACCACAAGUUCAUUAUAUUCACAUGUCAAGUCUAGUUCUCUUAUUUGUUUCAGUUUAUUUUUAUGCUACCUGUGUGUUCCCAGCAGACACAGUAGAGGAAUAUUUUUAACACAGGUUGUUUUGCUCCAUCUUCAACACCUGAUAAUGUUUAGCCGAUAGGACAUGAGUCAUUCUUUCUAUGCUGCUGUGACUCAGUCUCUGACCAUCUGGGAGCGAGAAUUUCGGUUUCCAGCUUAGAGCCGCCAGUGACCCCCUGGGAAGACCUGCCCAGGUUCAGUUUGAUAAGAGAAAGAGUAUGGACCCCCACCUUCACUUAGGUUCACUAAGGUAUAAAAAGAAGGUUAAUCAUGAAAGAAUAAGAACGUGUUUUGUGUACAUAACAUACCAACAAAAACUAUAAAUAAAAAUUUAAUGGAUCU